rnacentral:rRNA from 1 species
GAUUUCUGGUACGAUGCGCUUGGCCCGCAUGACUCUGUUAUGCGCGUGUCGGUGUGCGUCUGCCAUCCUUCCAGUAACGGUCUGCUCUUAACUGGGCGGGUCGCGAUCUGGAUCGUUUACUUUGAAAAAAUUAGAGUGUUUAAAGCAAGCUUGCGCUGUGAAUACAUUAGCAUGGAAUAAUAAUUUAGGACUUUAUCCCUAUUUUAUUGGUUUCUAGGAAUGAAGUAAUGAUUGAUAGGGAUAGUUGGGGGUGCUAGUAUUCAGCGGCCAGAGGUGAAAUUCUUGGAUUCGCUGAAGACUAACUAAUGCGAAAGCAUU